UACGUAGGGGGCAAGCGUUGUCCGGAUUUAUUGGGCGUAAAGAGCGUGUAGGCGGCCACACAGGUCAGCUGUGAAAACUCGAGGCUCAACCUCGAGACGUCGGUUGAAACCGUAUGGCUAGAGUCCGGAAGAGGAGAGUGGAAUUCCCGGUGUAGCGGUGAAAUUCGUAGAUAUUGGGAAGAACACCGGUGGCGAAGGCGGCUCACUGGCUCGUUUCUGACGCUCAGGCGCGACAGCGUGGGGAUCAAACAGG
rnacentral:rRNA from 1 species